UUCAAGCCCCAGGACCAGCAGAAAAGAAAAAGAACAGGAAAGCAAGGUAGCCCAACAAUGUCUCUAAUGAACUAAUUUCUUCCCUGAAGAAGAAAACUGAGUGACACACAUAUCCACAGGUCUACAAUGCCUCUUCCCAUUCGGACAGCUGUCCCCAUAGGCACUAGGGCUGUUCUAUGUAGGGGUCUAUAAAAAUGCAAGGCGACCUCUGGAUUGGUCACAUUCCACCAAUACUUUUAGGAAGCAAAAGAAAUAGGCCCUUUUUCUUUCCAGUGUGUGUGUGGGGGGUGGAUAGGGGGACUGGAGG